rnacentral:rRNA from 1 species
UACAGAGGGGGCGAGCGUUGUUCGGAAUUACUGGGCGUAAAGGGCGCGUAGGCGGCCCGCUAAGUCGAACGUGAAAUCCCCAGGCUCAACCUGGGAACUGCGUCCGAUACUGGCAGGCUUGAAUCCGGGAGAGGGAUGUGGAAUUCCAGGUGUAGCGGUGAAAUGCGUAGAUAUCUGGAGGAACACCGGUGGCGAAGGCGGCAUCCUGGACCGAUAUUGACGCUGAUGCGCGAAAGCCAGGGGAGCAAACGGG